rnacentral:rRNA from 1 species
CCUACGGGAGGCAGCAGUGAGGAAUAUUGGUCAAUGGACGAGAGUCUGAACCAGCCAAGUAGCGUGAAGGAUGACUGCCCUAUGGGUUGUAAACUUCUUUUAUAUGGGAAUAAAAUGCUCCACGUGUGGGAUUUUGUAUGUACCCUAUGAAUAAGGAUCGGCUAACUCCGUGCCAGCAGCCGCGGUAAUACGGAGGAUCCGUGCGUUAUCCGGAUUUAUUGGGUUUAAAGGGAGCGUAGGUGGAUUGUUAAGUCAGUUGUGAAAGUUUGCGGCUCAACCGUAAAAUUGCAGUUGAAACUGGCAGUCUUGAGUGCAGUAGAGGUGGGCGGAAUUCGUGGUGUAGCGGUGAAAUGCUUAGAUAUCACGAAGAACUCCGAUUGCGAAGGCAGUUCACUGGACUGCAACUGACGCUGAGGCUCGAAAGUGUGGGUAUCAAACAGGAUUAGAUACCCGUGUAGUC